rnacentral:tRNA from 1 species
GCCGGUGUAGCUCAGGGGUAGAGCAACUGAUUCGUAAUCAGUAGGUCGGGGGUUCAAAUCCCUCCACCGGCUCCA